rnacentral:rRNA from 1 species
GACGAACGCUGGCGGCGUGCUUAACACAUGCAAGUCGAACGGAGUGGCGAACGGGUGAGUAACACGUGGGUGAUCUGCCUUGCACUUCGGGGUAAGCUUGGGAAACUGGGUCUAAUACCGGAUAGUGCAAGAUGAGCUCGCGGCCUAUCAGCUUGUUGGUGGGGUAAUGGCCUACCAAGGCGUCGACGGGUAGCCCGCCUGAGAGGGUGUACGGCCACAUUGGGACUGGGAGACGACCCGUACUACGACGGGAGGCAGCGGUGGGGAAUAUUGCACAAGGGGCGGAGGGCUGAUGCAGCGACGCCGGGUGGGUGAUGAAGGCCUUCGGGUUGUAAACUCCUUUCGACAGGGACGCGGUACCUGAAUAAAAAGCACCGGCUAACUACGUGCCAGCAGCCGCGGUAAUUC